UGCAUAUCUCGUAUAGACCAUUUGUGUGAUGCCAAAAUAUUGAUGGAAAAUAAUACUCUGCGUAUUCAGGGUGUCCAUACGCACCAACCAUCAAGAGAAAAUGGUCGUUUCAAACGUCUCCCAUGUGCUCGGUGCAGCGGACGACCUAUUGCAAUGGUUGCUAGGCCAUGCUAUUGUGUUGCUAUUUGUCAGGACUGCACCGAGGAACAAGGAUUUAAUAUGAUAUGUCCACGCUGCAAUCUUGAGGCCGAAAGUUUUACCCGAGUAUUUAUUGGAAAUGAAAAUGAGGGGCCAGGCAUGCAACCGGUUGAAAUGACUUGUCGAGUCUGCCUGGAUGGACCAAUAUCAUUCAUGGUUGAUAAUUGCAAUCAUUUAAUAAUAUGUGGUGACUGUACCGAUCGUCUGAAUGCUACCGAAGAAGGAAAUUUUAUCCGAUGCCCAGUUUGCAGGAUGUAUGGUG